AUAAAAUUUAUAUUUAUAAGAUUGACUCUAUCUCCACUACACAAACGUCACGUAAACGCCACAUAAGCGUGGCCGGCGGGCUAGGAUUUAAGUUGAAUAUGGCGAACCAUUUACCGUUUGAAAACGGUGAAUGAUUUACCGUAUUCAACUUAACUUAUACAACGUUUAAUACAAUAAACACGGUGAACGUAAAAAGGACACAGUUUAAGUAAAAUGUGAAAAAUACAUAGUAAAUCAUUCACCAUAUCCGAACACAGUAAAUAGUUCAUCGUGUACAACUUAAUCAGCCACGCUCACGUGGGACUCGCGUGGCCCUUACGUGACAGGGAUAGGAUCAAUUUUAUAAAUCUAAAUUUUAUGGGACUAUUGGCGAAAAAAAAAAUCCUGAGGGGGCUAAAAGCAAGAAAAGCCCUUGAAUAUAAGAUGUUACAAAGAUGAGGAGAAAGAAAAAGAAUAUUUUAGCAAAAUAAUUAAGAAAAUAUUAAUUACUGAUGUGUCACAUGCAGAUUGACUUGUGCUGUACAGUUCAGUAUCUAUUGUGAUUUGGUGGAUUUGUGCUUAGUUCAUGUUGUUGUUAGUUUU
rnacentral:lncRNA from 1 species